rnacentral:rRNA from 1 species
GACGAACGCUGGCGGCGUGCCUAAUACAUGCAAGUAGAACGCUGAAGGAGGAGCUUGCUCUUCUGGAUGAGUUGCGAACGGGUGAGUAACGCGUAGGUAACCUGCCUGGUAGUGGGGGAUAACUAUUGGAAACGAUAGCUAAUACCGCAUAAUAACAGUUGUUGCAUGACAACUGUUUGAAAGGUGCAAUUGCAUCACUACCAGAUGGACCUGCGUUGUAUUAGCUAGUUGGUGGGGUAACGGCUCACCAAGGCGACGAUACAUAGCCGACCUGAGAGGGUGAUCGGCCACACUGGGACUGAGACACGGCCCAGACUCCUACGGGAGGCAGCAGUAGGGAAUCUUCGGCAAUAGACGAAAGUCUGACCGAGCAACGCCGCGUGAGUGAAGAAGGUUUUCGGAUCGUAAAGCUCUGUUGUAAGAGAAGAACGAGUGUGAGAGUGGAAAGUUCACACUGUGACGGUAUCUUACCAGAAAGGGACGGCUAACUACGUG